GUCUUUUUGAAUUAAAUUUAAAGUCUAACCUGCCCACUGAAAAAUUUUAAAUGGCCGCAGUAUUCUAACUGUGCAAAGGUAGCAUAAUCAUUAGUCUUUUAAUUGAAGGCUGGAAUGAAUGGUUGGACGAAAUAUUAACUGUUUCAUUUAAAUUUUUAUAGAAUUUUAUUUUUUAGUCAAAAAGCUAAAAUAAAUUUAAAAGACGAGAAGACCCUAUAAAUCUUUAUAUUUUAUUUAUUUUAAUUGUAAAGAUUAUUUUUAUUAUAAUAAAUUAAAAUAUUUUAUUGGGGUGAUAUUAAAAUUUAAAAAACUUUUAAUUUUUAAAACCAUUAAUUUAUGAAUAAUUGAUCCGUUAAUAACGAUUAAAAAUUUAAGUUACUUUAGGGAUAACAGCGUAAUUUUUUUGGAGAGUUCAUAUCGAUAAAAAAGAUUGCGACCUCGAUGUUGGAUUAAGAUAUAAUUUUGGGUGUAGCCGUUCAAAUUUUAAGUCUGUUCGACUUUUAAAUUCUU
rnacentral:rRNA from 1 species